GACGAACGCUGGCGGCGCGCCUAACACAUGCAAGUCGAACGAGCGAGCGAGAGCUUGCUUUCUCGAGCGAGUGGCGAACGGGUGAGUAACGCGUGAGGAACCUGCCUCAAAGAGGGGGACAACAGUUGGAAACGACUGCUAAUACCGCAUAAGCCCACGGCUCGGCAUCGAGCCGGGGGAAAAGGAGCAAUCCGCUUUGAGAUGGCCUCGCGUCCGAUUAGCUAGUUGGUGGGGUAACGGCCCCCCAAGGCGACGAUCGGUAGCCGGACUGAGAGGUUGAACGGCCACAUUGGGACUGAGACACGGCCCAGACUCCUACGGGAGGCAGCAGUGGGGAAUAUUGCACAAUGGGGGAAACCCUGAUGCAGCGACGCCGCGUGGAGGAAGAAGGUCUUCGGAUUGUAAACUCCUGUUGUUGGGGAAGAUAAUGACGGUACCCAACAAGGAAGUGACGGCUAACUACGUG
rnacentral:rRNA from 1 species